GGUUGACUGGGGCAGCCAGCAGAAGCCCUCACAGCUCCCCCGCAACCCCGGGGUGUGUGUGUGGGGGGCGGGGGGAGCAGCGAGCUGUCUUGCUUGUUUACAACGAAGGUUCCCGCUUCAGUUCCAGCUCACUGCCCCGGUUGGAAGCCCGAGAGGAAGCGAAGGCAGGGAGUUUCUCCAGGACGCCGAUUGCCGCUUCCUCGCGGACGCGGGAGACCGGGUAAGCCCUCCCCCGGCGGCCCCGGCGGACCUGCGGCCGUGUCAGCCGAGCAGCCAGACCAGAAGCGGAGGGGACCACCGUGGAGGGACUUGGCUUGAAAUCGUCCUCUGCGAACAUUUGCCAAGCCCAAACAGACAGACGCCAGAGGCACCACUGUGCCCUAUGGGUCUCUGGAAAAAACGCUGAACCUUGUUCAGGGUCAUACCCGCCCAUUGCUUGGGGACCAUGUUCAUUUCAAGUGAAUUGCAAUCUCUCUCUCUCUCUGAAAUGAAAGACUGUAACAUUCUGUAAUUAAAAAAAAAACAAAACAGGUUUUAAGAUCAUGUUCCACCCACAAGGUACACAACAGAAGACCCCUUACAUCACCAGCCUUGCUAGUGUAGUUGAUAAACUUACUCAUAAACUUGCCCAAAAAGUUUCAAAGAGCUAUCGUCUUGUGUGUUUUAAUAAAAGUGAUGUCAGCCUCCCUCUUUUGCAUGUUUUGGGAUAGCUAGCCUUCCUUUUUUAAUAGUUUAGGCCUUCUCAGUCUUCACAGCUUAGCGGUCUUGCUUGAGAAGGCCUUUCUACCUGACUUUGCUGGUGAAGGGCUCCAGUGAGCAGGAGAAAGGCCUGGGUUGAAAACAGGUCGGCGGGGAGAGCGGCCGCCGGCAUGAGUUAAGUUCAUUCAUUCGAAAGCGCCCUUUCGUAAGUCCUAGAGGUAUUUGCUACAGGCUGUAGGAAUGCCAAGACUUUCUGGGGGUGGGGACUUCUCAAGACAAUGGAUUGUCAGGUGUUACACAAAUAAAGGAACAAAGUCUGGGCCCUUUCCCCUCUGCAAGUCAAUUCAUCUCUUACUUAGAGGAGACUUUCCCCUGCCUUAGGGGUUCAUUGUCUCCUUCUUAGAGGACCCUGAUGUGUGUGUGUGUUAGGGGGGCUAGGCUCAGCCCUGGGUGUAAGGGGGUGGAGGUGGAGAAAGAGAAUGGAGCGGAGGGCUCCUGGCUUCUGUUGUGGCGUCUUUUCUGUUUGACUUCAUGGUUGUAAGUAUUUCCAGAUGGUGAAUCAGACACCAGACGUAACAAUAUUUCCAUAUUUGGGUAUAGCAGUAGCCUGCGUUUUUAACAUUUUUCUGCCUCUGUUAUCCAACCACAGAGCAUUCUUGACAGUUUCAAAUGUUGUUAAAUAUAGACUCAACUUCUGUUCCCAGAGCAGGAAAUUCUUUGGAAUUCCUUGUUUUUCACGCAAUCUGUCUAUCAUGAUUUGAAAUAAAAUUAGAAUGGAUGAUCCAACUGG